rnacentral:rRNA from 1 species
UAGGGAAUCUUCCACAAUGGACGCAAGUCUGAUGGAGCAACGCCGCGUGAGUGAAGAAGAUCUUCGGAUCGUAAAACUCUGUUGUUAGAGAAGAACACGAGUGAGAGUGGAAAGUUCACACAGUGACGGUAACUUACCAGAAAGGGACGGCUAACUACGUGCCAG